UCAGGGGCGCUCGUGCGGCCCGCGGGCACCGCUCGGACACACCACUGCCCGCGAGCCCGGGACCCACCGCACUGCACAACACCCCCUGAGCUCCGCCCUCCCUUAAGUAGGCAAAGAUCAACCCCCGCAAACGUUUGUCCCGCCCCGUCCCUUCUCACGGCUCCCCAGCACGUGGGGCCACGCCCGAGCUCUGCUCGCACUACGAAGGCGCUCCGGGCGCUGCCCUCAGCUCCGCCCGGGGUCAAUUUGUCGCUCCCCAGCAGAGCUGGGCUGGCGGGGCCCAGGUGACGGGGCACUCCUGCGGGCACCGGGCUGAAGGUGCCACCGCGGCAGCUCUUGCAGGGCCAGACCCAGUUGGAGCAUUUCCAGUAAUCCCUGUACUGACAGUAUUAUAAUCCCUGCUGUAUCCAGUUGGAGAACUAAACCAGCCACUGGAGAAUCGGCAACUCCUCCUACAAGGAACUGGAUCUUUGCCAAAGAAUAGCUCCACCUUGGAGUCAGCUGAGUCUUGUUCUGCAUGAACAAAAAAUCCUAGUCUCCCUUGAACUCUUCUGCUGGCUCAAAGACUCUUACCUCAGUGAGAACAUUUCAUAUUCUGCAUAUGCUUAGGCUUCCACCAGUAUGGGAAACAGUAAAUGUAAUCAAGCACAGAAA